rnacentral:rRNA from 1 species
UAACACAUGCAAGUCUAGCGGGCGUAGCAUUACAUCUCCUGCUUACGGGUGACUAUCGCGUGGCGACGUCCCUUUUGGUGCUUAUCCACACCGGGGAACUUGAGCUAAUAUCGGAUCAUCCCUCACGGGGCAACAUUUAUCGCCACAUCAUCCGCCCGCGUCUGAUUAGCGACUUGGACGGGGACUGGCCUACCGUGGCGACUAUCGGUCCCUGGUCUGAUAUGAUGAUCAGCCCCCUUGGGACUGACACCCCGCCCAAUCUCCUACGGGAGGCCGCCGCGGGGAAUAUUGUACAAUGGGGGUCACCCUGAUCCCUCCAUGCCGCCUGAGUGAUGAAGGCCCUAGGGUUGUAUCCCUCUUUUGUGCGGGAAGAUAAUGACUGUACCGCUGUAAUAAGCCCUGGCUUACUUCUUGCCCGCAGCCGCCGUUAUACAAGGGGGGCUAACGUUGCUCGGAAUCGCUGGCCUGAAAGGGUGCGUAGGCGGGUCUUUACGACAGGGGUGAAAUCCUGGAGCUCGACUCCACAACUGCCUUUGAUACUGAACAUCUUGCUUCCCGGAUAGGUGAGUGGAACUGCGACUGCAUAGGUGAGCUUCCCAAAUAUUCGCAAGAGCACCAGUGCCGAAAGCGGCUCACAGUCCCGGUACUGACUCUGAGGCACGAAAUCGCGAGGAGGUUACACGAUUUGAUACCCUGGUAGUCCCCCCCGUCAACAUUUAUUGCCAGCCGUUAGUGGGUUUACUCACUAUUGGCGCAGCUAACGCUUUAAGCAUCCCGCCUGGGGAGUACGGUCGCAAGAUUAAAACUCAAAGGAAUUGACGGGGGCCCGCACAAGCGGUGGAGCAUGUGGUUUAAUUCGACGCAACGCGCAGAACCUUACCAGCCCUUGACAUGUCCAGGACCGGUCGCAGAAAUGUGACCUUCUCUCCGGAGCCUGGACCACAGGUGCUGCAUGGCUGUCGUCAGCUCGUGUCGUGAGAUGUUGGGUUAUGUCCCGCAACUAGCGCAACCCCCGUCCUUGGUUGCUACCAUUUAGUUCACCACUCUAAGGAGACUGCCGGUGAUA